AUGGGCUCGCCUUGCAAAACUGCAAAAUCAUUAUUAUUAUCAUGGCGGGGAACAUCUAGAAUCAAACAUUCCGUUAUGUUAAUAAUAAGCGACUGAUUUGUGUGAGAGCUUGUUUCCAUGGUCACCACCGGAGCACACCUCCAUCAUCAUGGCGCGCACGAUAAAAACGCUUCAAAACAUCACAGUACAUUCACACAUUUGAUGCAAAUCUGGGUUAAAAAUGCGACCACAGGACUUAAUUUGCUUCUUUUUUGUUGUUUUAAGUGACAUAAAGAUGUUCCCCCACAUCAGAAUACAAAUGGUAGUGUCCUGUUGGAACCAGGAAGUAGCAUUAUAGCUAACCAGACUAGCACAGGCAAACAAAAACCACGAUAAAUGAGUCAUUUACCCUCGUCAUUCCACAAAAUGGAAUGGAAACAGGCCAACACAAAGAAAAAACAACAAUUAGAUAAAUAAAACACCCCCUCAUCAGAAUGUACACGGUGGAAUCUGGUUAGUCCCAUCCUAGUGUCUUACGUUGUUUUUUUUUCAAACCAGGACGUACCCGAUUAUCUCACAAAACUACAACGGACAACAAAAUAAAUUUGAUUAAGGGUGUUUUUUUGCAACUUUACUAAUAAAUGAAAGUCCCCCCCAUGUCAGAAUAUACAUGGUAGAGUCGUAUUUGUCCCAUACUAGCAUCUUAUGUUGGCUUCCACAAACCAGGAAGUAGCUGGUUAUCACAAACUAGCACAUACAACAAAAACAAUGAUAAGGGGGUGUUUUUCCGGUUCGACUGAUAAACGGAAAGGUUUCCCCCAAGUCAGAAUGCACACGGUAGAGUCCGAUUCGUCCCGUCUCACAAACCGGAAGUAGCUGGCGAGCUCACCAACACAGAAAUAUUUUAUGUUCCUGUCAUUCUGCUUUUGUCAAAAUGAAAGUUCCCCCAUGUCAGAAUGUACAUGGUAGAGUCGUAUUUGUCCCAUGCUAGCAUCCUAUGUUGGCUUCCACAAACCAGGAAGUAGCUGGGUAUCAUAAACUCGCACAGACAACAAAAACAAUGAUAAAGGGGGUGUUUUUCCAGUUUGACUGAUAAACGGAAAGGCUACCCCCAGGUCUAAACGGAAAGGCUUCCCCCAGGUCAGAAUACACAUGGUAGAGUCCGAUUCGUCCCGUCGCACAAACCGGAAGUAGCCAGCGAGCUAGCGAGCUCACCAACACAGAAACAUUAUAUAUUCCUGUAAUUCUGCUUAUAUUGUUUUGUACAAUUUAAGUUUGUAAUAAAAUGUUUAACCUUAAAAAAAACGCCAAUUUGAUAGAGUUUUUCUUUUUUUGCCGUUUGGCUAAUGAAUGACAGGCGUUUUCCAUGAACCAGGAAGUAGCCGGCUCGUCCACUUCACUAGCAGAAACCAAAACAACAAUUUGGGUCCCUCGGUGACAAGAAUGUCUACGACUGGAGUUCCGAAGAGGAGGAGUCGGACGGGCGGGCGCGGCCCAUCCAGGUUCUGCUAGUGAAAGACGACCACACCUUCGAACUGGACGAGGCGGCGCUGAGUCGCAUCCUGCUGGCCGAGGAGGUCCGGGACCGUGAGGUGGUGGCCAUCUCCGUGGCCGGAGCGUUCCGUAAGGGGAAGUCCUUCCUGAUGGACUUCAUGCUGCGUUACAUGUACAACCAUGCGCGCCAAGACUGGCUCGGUCUGGCGGACGAGCCCCUGACCGGCUUCUCCUGGAGGGGGGGCUCAGAGAGGGAGACCACCGGGAUCCAGAUCUGGAGUGAGGUCUUUCUGGUGGACCGACCUGAUGGAACAAAGGUGGCGGUGUUGCUCAUGGACACACAAGGCACCUUUGACAGCCAGUCCACACUGAGGGACUCGGCCACCGUCUUUGCCCUCAGCACCAUGAUCAGCUCCAUGCAGGUUUACAACAUCUCACAGAACGUCCAAGAGGAUGACCUUCAGCACCUGCAGCUGUUCACGGAAUACGGCCGACUGGCGAUGGAGGAGACGUUUCUCAAACCUUUUCAGUCCAUGAUAUUCCUCAUCCGAGACUGGAGUUUCCCCUACGAGUUUCCAUACGGGCAGGAAGGAGGCAUGAAAUUCCUGGAAAAGAGACUGAAGAUCUCGGAGAACCAGCACGAGGAGCUGCAGAAUGUCCGCAAGCACAUCCACUCGUGCUUCACCAACAUCUCCUGCUUCCUGAUGCCUCACCCGGGUCUCAAGGUGGCCACCAACCCGCACUUUGACGGACGGAUUAAAGAGAUCGACGCCGAGUUCACCAGCAACUUAGAGCUUCUGGUCCCGUGGCUCCUCAGUCCUGACAACAUCGACGUGAAGGAGAUCAACGGGAGCAAAAUCACCUGCCGAGGCCUGCUGGAGUACUUCAAGGCCUACAUCAAGAUUUACCAGGGCGAAGAGCUCCCGCAUCCCAAAUCCAUGCUCCAGGCGACGGCCGAGGCCAACAAUCUGGCAGCCGUGGCGGCCGCCAAGGAUCUGUACAACAAGAAAAUGGAGGAGGUGUGCGGAGGCGACCGCCCCUUCCUGGCGCCCAGCGAGCUGCAGGCCCGCCACGCCGUGAUCCGCGAGGAGGCGCUGCAGGUGUUCCGCGGCGUCAAGAAGAUGGGCGGCGAGGAGUUCAGCCGCCGUUACCUGCAGCAGCUGGAGGGCGAGGUGGACGAGGUGUUCGUUCAGUACAUCAAGCACAAUGACUCCAAAAACAUUUUCCAUGCCGCCCGCACGCCGGCCACGCUCUUCGUGGUCAUAUUUGUCAUGUACGUGGCGGCGGGCAUUACGGGCUUUGUGGGCGUGGACAUCAUCGCCAGCCUGUGCAACAUGGUCUUGGGCCUGGCGCUCAUCACGCUCUGCACCUGGGCCUACAUCCGCUACUCGGGCGAGUACAGGGAGCUGGGGGCCGUCAUCGACCAGGUGGCCGGAGCCCUGUGGGACCAGGUCAGUCCCGCUUUCGUCCCGUCCGCCAUCCCAUCCGUCACCGGAUGUCAUCAUGUCUUCCUUUGCCAGACGCUAUCAACAAUGUUUACCGUCUGUCGUCAUGGGCAACGUGAGAUGGUAGCGCUAACAGCGCUAACCCUGCUGCAUGUCAACCAACCGAAACUCACGCCCGAUGGUGGGCGUCUUUAGGAAUUGGAAAACAAAUGGGGCUUUCCGUUACGCUCUAUUGCUAGCGAGUAAACACAGAAGUAAAGCUUGGGGGGAAGGCAUGGAGUUUAUACAGCUUAUACACCUAUGCCCAUAUAAGGAAGCACACCUCUGUGACAUCACAAAGGAACAGUUUUUACCACGCCUUUUCAAACCAAGCGUUUUGAGCCAUCCUUGCUGACUUUAUUUCCAAAAUAUUUGGACUUUAUUCUCAUAAUAUUAUAUACUUCUAUAUUAUAAUAUACUUAUUGUAAUUAAUAUACUUUUAUAAUUAUAUAAUAUUACUUUUUCGGCAAGCUAAUCUACCCAAAAUUCAAACUUUCUGCUUUUAAUUUCUCAUAGUAUUUUUUUAUUUAAUUUUUUUUAACAUUUGUCCUUGUAGUUUUUCUUCAUGAUGACUUUAUUGCAAUCAUAUUUUGCCAAUAUUCUCGUAAGAUUACUACUGGGUUUGUUUUUUUUCCUCACAAAUUUUUGCAACAUUCCUCAUGUACAUUUUAUUCUCAUAACAUACCUUUUUAAUUCUACAAAAAUGGCUAAAUUUUUUGUUUAGUUUGUUUUUCCAUCAUACUACAACUUACAAAAAUAGCGUCUUUGUCUUUAAUAUUGCAACUUGCAUGAUUUUUCCAUGUUACAUUCUGCUAAAAACAGGACUUUUUCUGGUUCGAUGACAACUUUUUCGUUGAAAUAUUUUGACUUUAUUCUUACAAAAUUGCAAAAAAUUUUUUUUGAUUAUUAUAAAUAUAUUAUAACGAAAUAUUAUAAAUUAUUAUAAAUAUUGUAGUAUGUGCAGUGGGCCAAUAAAAUGGCCCCCAGGCAGCACUUUGGACACCCGAGGCCCAGUCUAGGUCAUGUAAUGCAACCCAACAAGUAGCUUUUUAGGUUAAAAGGUUUAAAAACAAGGUUAUUAUUAUUAUUAUUAUUAUUAUUAUUAUUAUUAUUAUUAUUAUUAUUAUUAUUAUUAUUGUCCUACCUGCACCUGCUCUCGAACCUUGACUCCUGAUCUGCUCCAGUACUUCCCAGACCUCCCUGACCAAGGCUCUUCUUUGCAGCUUAUAGGUUCAUGUAACUCCUAAAGACAAACAAGAGGCAUGAUGCAGUUACACAAGACGGCCACCAGAUGGCAGGCGUCUGCUUGAAAUUAGUGCUUACUAUUGAGUUCUUAUUGCAUGUGUUUACUCACCAUGUGUUUGUCUUUUGUGCAUCUGCAGGGGAACACCAAUGAGGCGCUCCACAAGCUGUACAACGUAGCCGCCAAUCACAGGCACCUGUACCAGCACGCCUUCCCCAGGCAUCAGACCGCCGAGGCCGCCGAAGCCGGCGAGGAGCGCGACAAGAAGAAGGACUGAGCAAGCGCAGCGGCGGGCGUGGUCGUUCUCGUUCAUCUCGAAAAAAAAACGACGGGAUCGUACACGUACGCCACGUCCGAGCAUCUUCACACGUCAGCCGUCGGUCGGCACCUGGAACGGGCCGCCGCGGGAACUGGAAGCAACACGCGUAGAGAAAAAGAUCCCGAUUCCUCAUUGGCGUUUUUCUUCUUCUUCUUCUUCCGGAGGAAGUACGUCGUUUAUCGUCUAUCGGAACGAAAACAACCACAGUCACCGCUCAACCGUCAACCGUCGUUGGGUUCACCUGCACCGUAGCGUUACUUAAUGAUGCCUUUGCAAAGAUCAUUGCCACUGGGUGUUUUUCAAUACUUCUAUUUGGCCAGUAUUCUCGGAACAUGACAAUUCCGGAAAAAAAAUUCCGCAACCUCAUUCCCCAACUUUUUGUCUGUUUUAUUGUUCAUAUUACGACAUUAAAAAUAUUUCAACAUUAUGCUACAAAAAUUACGUUUUGUCCUCCCUACAAUUUUGGCGUCACUGUCGUAAAAUUCCAGCUACUUUCCCGCUAGAUGACACCUUUUUUUUUUUUUUUUUACAUAUUCGGAAUUCUCGGAAAAUCACACCUGUCUAAUUCCACUUUCAUCUGGUAACCGGGACUUCAUUGUCAUCAUAUUUGGACUUUAUUCUCAUGAUAAACAUGUAACAGGAGAGUAAAGGUGACUAUAGGGGUGUUAUUCCAUGUCUAGAGGUCUCUAGUCAUGUUAAACAGCCUAUUUAGUAGACGGUAAACAGGUUUUCUAUGUCUCGUUUUCUGUUGUUAUGUCUACUAUAAUGGAUAACAGGAGAGUAAAUGUGACUAUAGGGGUGUUAUUUCAUGUCAAGAGGGCUCUAGUCAUGUUAAAUAGCCUAUUUAGUAGAUGGUAAACAGGUUUUCUAUGUCUUAUUUUCUGUUAUGUCUACUAUACUGGAUAACGGCAGUGUAAAGGUGACUAUAGGGGUGUUAUUCUAUGUCUAGAGGGCUCUAGUCAUGUUAAACAGCCUAUUUAGUCGAUGGUAAACAGAUUUUUUACAUCUUAUUUUCUGUUAUGUCUACAAUACUGAGUAACGGUAGGCUAAAGGUGACUAUAGGGGUGUUAUUUCAUGUCUAGAGUGCUCUAGUCAUGUUAAACAGCCUAUUUAGUAGAUGGCAAACAGAUUUUUUUACAUCUUAUUUUCUGUUACAUCUACUAUACUGGAUAACGGAAGUGUAAAGGUGACUCUAGGGGUGUUAUUCCAUGUCUAGAGGACUCUAAUAUGGUUAUAAUGCAUAUGCACUGUAAACAUUCCAUUUAUCGAUAAUUGUAUUGUAAUUCAUUUAUCACAGUCGGGUCUGGAACCAAUUAACCGUGAUGAAUGAGGGACUUCACAGGUUAUAUAUGACAUUUUAUAUACAAUACAGAGUUUGGGAAAUAAUUGUGGUUUUGUUUGUUAUGAAAUGGGGCUUUAUCUUACUCAAUGGGGGCAAAUGUGACGAACAUAGAGAUGAAGCAACGCGGUAAGAGCCCUUUUAAACGGUGUCAAUGAAAAUCUUUGUAAAGGCUUCAAAUGUGCAUGUGCACCUAAUGUGGUCUGUGAGUGGAUUCCCAAGCUAUAAAUAAUAUACUUAAUGACGCAUUGUCCGCAUGGUGUCCAUGGUUUAGAAUCUUUUGUGUCAUCUUUUAACAUCUCAAAUCAUGUUUUCAAGAGAGGAGAGAAAUAAGUUCCUGUGAUUCCACGCCACAUGCUUCAUAGGCCAGACAUGUUUGUCACCCCCACCCCCUUCCAAAGCAUUGCUGUGUCCUUCUGCCCCCCUGUGGGGAAUCCCUGCCACUCGGGAGUCGGUGCUUGACGUGAAUCGGGCGGGGAAAGAAUGCUCCUUCCUGAUUUCUGUCAACAUCCCAGCUCCACUUUUUGCACAUUCAUUAGCCGACUGUUAUUGUCCCUCGUCGUUGACGUCACGUUUUUUUUGCACAUUCAUGACCGACAUCACACCUCCGGGGGGGUUUGAAGCAUUUAAAAGGCUCUGCAGUCUUCCACGCUGUUUAGCAUCAUCCACAUCACGACGCCACAGAGGCUUCCACGCCGCUGCUGAUGUGUUCCGACGUAGCAUUCAUGGGUUCAUCUUGGCUUGUGUUCCAUCGUUUGCGAUAUGAAAAUGUAAAUAAACUAGCGAGCGAGUG